rnacentral:rRNA from 1 species
UACGUAGGGGGCAAGCGUUAUCCGGAAUUACUGGGUGUAAAGGGUGCGUAGGCGGUAAUGUAAGUCAGAUGUGAAAGCCCGAAGCUCAACUUCGGGACUGCAUUUGAAACUACAUAACUAGAGUACAGGAGAGGUGAGUGGAAUUCCUAGUGUAGCGGUGAAAUGCGUAGAUAUUAGGAGGAACACCAGUGGCGAAGGCGACUCACUGGACUGUAACUGACGCUGAGGCACGAAAGCGUGGGGAGCGAAC